rnacentral:rRNA from 1 species
AUGGCGAGCGGCGACACGCUGGACGAGUUCGCCGGCAAGCUCGGUGGCAUGGCGGCGCGUUACGCGGCGCUCGGCUCAACCCUGGAAGACGCCGCGCUGGUGAAGAAGCUGCUCGACUCCGUGCCGGACCGCCUGUACGCGGCGGUGGCCGGGAUCGAGCAGUUUUGCGACGUGUCGACGAUGCCGUUCGAGGAGGCGCUCGGGCGACUGAAAGCGUUCGACGAACGGCUCCGACGACGCGGGCAGGCAGGCGGCGAGAGCGCGGACGGGCAGCUGAUGUUCACCGCGGCGCAAUGGCGGGCGCGUGAACGACAG